rnacentral:lncRNA from 1 species
CAGAGAUCUUUUUUGAUCUUUCUUGUACCAAGACCUUAUAGAUCCACUGCUGUACAUAUAAAUUCUUCAUCCACUGCUGCCACAAGGUGAAGUCUUUGUUACCAUCGAACUUCUCAAACUCCAUCUUAAAUCUGCUUGAAGCCAUCGUACCUUUCAAACAAUGAGCCAGCCCUAAAUCCUUCUACAAUACCAUGCCUCACAACCCCAAAAUUGGAUC